UACGGAGGAUGCGAGCGUUAUCCGGAUUUAUUGGGUUUAAAGGGUGCGUAAGCGGGCUGUUAAGUCAGCGGUCAAAUGUCGGGGCUCAACCCCGGCCUGCCGUUGAAACUGGAGGCCUUGAGUGCACACAGGGGUGCCGGAAUUCAUGGUGUAGCGGUGAAAUGCUUAGAUAUCAUGAAGAACUCCGAUCGCGAAGGCAAGUGUCCGGGGUGCAACUGACGCUGAGGCUCGAAAGUGCGGGUAUCAAACAGG
rnacentral:rRNA from 1 species